UAUACAUCUCCCACCUUACAUUGCUUCAAGUACAGGAAGGGAAAGGCUCCAAAACUGUAAAGAUCUUCUUCAGCAGAAGAGUGACAGAGGAGCAGCUUAGGUACCCCCCUCCCAUGACAGCUAUGGAAAGGUCUCUCACGGCAUCAAUGUAAGGCAGGGGAACCACGGCCAGCUUCCUACAGCCCUCCUGAGAUGUGUCCCCAGGUCCUUGCUCUGGGUGUCUGACCCUGCUCUCCACGGGAACCUUCCUGUACCGAGAUUCCUCCAAGUGUCUCCUCUGCCCUCCUGCUCUAAUCUGACAAGUGCUGAAGUGCUGUAGAGAUGGAUUCAUGUACAGAAGUGUGCUGGGUGUCCUGGCAGAUGGGCUUCUCCAGUGAUGCUGGAGGUCUUGGGGGCAAAUGUCGUCACAGUGGGGAAGAGCUGAGCUGUUGUGAGCAGCUGAAGAAGCAGACACAUACCAACGCCUACUGUACAGGUGCGCCAGUGCAGUGGACUUUAAUGGUUUUUUCUUUAUAACCAACAUGUUAUAUCCUGAAAAAAAAUCACUCAAAAAAACUAGAGAACAUUCAAAAUUUGGGAAGAUGAAGGUUGUCAACAUAGUUGUCACUACAAACUUAAAACAGGUCUUUCAGACCCUGAUACUUCUACCAAAAGAUGGUGAUUUCAUUUCACUCUUGUGAGCUACAAUGCUCAGUUUCUUCUCCUCCUUCUGUUGAAAUUCUUGUCCUCAGUGCUGUGAGUGUGAUUUUCCACAGACUAUGUUGUGAACAGUGCUAUGUAGCUGAGAAUUUGCUCAUUUAAUAUAGUGUUACCAUGCUCCUUAGAUCUGUUGUAGUUUCCAUGGAAAUAAACAGGAGGUAUUACUUUCGGAGCAACCUACAGUAUAUAUCCAUAUGUACGCUAUAUAUGUUGCACACAAUUAUAUACAUGCAUAUCUAUGGAAAAAGGAGGCAAGAAUACAGAUUUUUGCCUUCCACAGCGUCAGCAGUGUUUAGGAUAGUUACUGUGCUGCCUAUCUAUUCAAACAUAUUACAUGUCUUUCAUGUAAGCUGGCUUGCCAUCAGCACUGCUCCCUUCAGCUGGCUCAAGUACUGUACAUACUGCUAUUGUUUGUAGUUUUAAAACAAAAGCUAUAUAUUUUUAUGACUUUCCUGAACACUCAGCUCCAGGGUUCACCGGAAGAACUCUGCUUAUUCUCUUUUUUUUCUUUUCUUCCUUCCUUUCUUCUCUAAAAUAACCUUCAAGACCUUUGGCUACAAAAACAUGAGCUAUACAAAAGACCUCAAAUAACAGAAAGCAAUUAAAGUUCUUAUUAUCUUUGUAAGAUCUCUGGGUUUGAGUCACCCGAUUCAUCAUUUUUCAAUGCUUCCAAUGAGCAAAAAUAGAAGCGUGUUAUUUUAUUGGCAGUUCCUGUUUAGAGAACUUUGUUUACUAACUACCAAUUACUUGAUCAUUUCUUCUGUAUCCUUCCUUAAUGAGAAUAAAGGUCUCAUUAUUCUGUCUCUGUAGCUAGAGUGGUUUAAAUAAUUACUUUGGGCAUUACAUUUGCUGCUAACAACUUGUCUAGCACUGUAUAUUUCUUUUCAAUUCAAGCUUUUUAUUUGGUAUAUCACUAUUGAUUUGGUCAGAAAUGAGUAGUUUUUAAAGGUGUUGAUUAAUAUAAGAGCUUCUUUGUGACCAUUUACUCCACGACAGAACUUUUACCUUGCAUAUCUCCUGCCUUUACCAAUUCUCAGUGUGCAUUUUAAGAGGCAGUACAUAGCUUUCUCCAUGAGCAUUAUGUCUUUUUUUUUUCUAAAACUGUUCUUUCAAAGGCCAGUCA
ensembl:lncRNA